rnacentral:rRNA from 1 species
GCAUAUCAAUAAGCGGAGGAAAAGAAACUAACAAGGAUUCCCCUAGUAACUGCGAGUGAAGCGGGAAAAGCUCAAAUUUAAAAUCUGGCGGUCUCCGGCCGUCCGAGUUGUAAUCUAGAGAAGUGUUAUCCGCGCUGGACCGUGUACAAGUCUCCUGGAAUGGAGCGUCAUAGAGGGUGAGAAUCCCGUCUUUGACACGGACUGCCAGGGCUUUGUGAUGCGCUCUCAAAGAGUCGAGUUGUUUGGGAAUGCAGCUCAAAAUGGGUGGUAAAUUCCAUCUAAAGCUAAAUAUUGGCGAGAGACCGAUAGCGAACAAGUACCGUGAGGGAAAGAUGAAAAGAACUUUGGAAAGAGAGUUAAACAGUACGUGAAAUUGCUGAAAGGGAAACGCUUGAAGUCAGUCGCGUUGGCCGGGGAUCAACCUUGCUUUUGCUGGGCGUACUUUCCGGUUGACGGGUCAGCAUCAAUUUUGACCGUUGGAUAAAGUCCAGGGGAAUGUGGCAUCUUCGGAUGUGUUAUAGCCCUUGGUCGCAUACAACGGUUGGGAUUGAGGAACUCAGCACGCCGCAAGGCCGGGUACUUGUACCACGUUCGUGCUUAGGAUGCUGGCAUAAUGGCUUUAAUCGACCCGUCUUGAAACACGGACCAAGGAGUCUAACAUGCCUGCGAGUGUUUGGGUGGAAAACUCGGACGCGUAAUGAAAGUGAAAGUUGAGAUCCCUGUCGCGGGGAGCAUCGACGCCCGGACCAGACCUUUUGUGACGGAUCCCGCGGUAGAGCA